UAUUUACUUUACAAUCUUGAUCCGGCUGGCGGGAUAUUCGAGUAAUAAAUGAAAUUUUUUUGAUACUUUUUAUAUGUAAACAGAUGUAAUUUAUUGCACAAUUUACAAAAAAAGAGAGUAGAAUUAAGAUAAUUAUGCCGGGUUCCGUUGCCACCAUUAUUUAAAUACAAAAGGAAACUAACUAGUCUCUAAAAAUAUUGUCAUUAACGGUAUUUAACUAUGAGCUCUGUCCUGAAUUACUUUCACAGAUGAUUUGAUAACUUUCAAAUAUGAACAAUAAGAACAGAUGUUAUAAUAUUAUGAGUAAUAUUCAAUCUUUACAACUUCCGUUGAAUAUGCUUGUACAUUCAUAAUUCAUACAUUUCAAUACAUACUAGAACAUUAAUAGAUACUCACUCACUGUCAGAAACGUUCUCAUCGGAUUUUUUUUAAAAAAUGAUUAGCAAUUCUUCUUUGUUCAAAAUCCUAAGAUAUUUAAGAAAUCCACGAAAAUAAACGAAAUGCCGAAUGGCUCCCUUUUAGAAAUCUGUCACGUGAUCAGCGCCAUUUUAGUGUAAGAAGAUGAUAAUCAAGCAAUUAAGCUCCAAUGAUUGAACAAUUUUAACCAUUAAAAGAUAUUUUAAAACCUACAAUUAGAACUUUCUGAAUAUAUCCUCUAAUUGAACGAAGAAAGGGACUUAUUUUUUUAGAAGUGAUAUUAUACCAAUAUUUUUUAUUUCACACUCUUAAAGCUCAAUAAGGAGAUGAUCAGAGAGUUGGUUUGUUGUUAAGAUGCAAGCCAAUUCCAAAUUCGUAGCUAGAUUUAAAUUUCUUCCAUAUAGGAAAACUUUUUAAGUCGUGAAGACUUUUUUCGUUGGUUUUACUAGGUUUGAGAUAAUUCUUUUCAUCCAACACCUCUUUAAACAUUUCUUGUAUUUUCCUUUGUUCCAAAAGCCUGUCAAUUUCUCUAUUUUGGGCUUUAUAAUGUUGCAUAAUGUUUGACAGUUUGAAUACAAUUCUUAUUGACUUUUAACACUGUAUGUUUCAAUAGUUUCAACCUUACACUUAUUGAUUUCGCGGUUAGUCUCAGAGGGAAUAUUAUUUAGCAGCUUUCUUUUGAUUGCUGCGGGACGUGAUGAACUAGGAACAUCUCUAUCUAUAAUUGAUGGUAAAGCUAAAGUGCCUUUAUUGAAAAACUAUGUCAUCAACGGACUUAGCCAGGGACCGAGCGGCCAAACUAUUGAAGAAGAGAGGUAGUCUCUCUUCUCAAGGAACCAGCAAUGAAUACAAUCUACACGCUCACAGGAAGCAAGGUUCCAUAUCUACAAUAUCCUUUAUGGAGGAUCAUACAAAUCAAGAGCACCAUCAUAAGCCGGCUGUCAAAAUGGAAAAUACUUAUCAGUUGGGACCGACAAAAAAGUUUCCCGUUGGUCAAAUAACUCAAAUUAUAAGCGAUGUAUUACAAAGUUACUUGAUGGAUGAACGCUACGAAGUGGAAUUAUGUAGAAACAUGACGAAAACGCUUAGUGACGUUGUUAAAGCACGAGUGAAGGAAUUACAAUUGCCACGCUAUAAAAUUGUCUGUUUGGUAAAUAUAGGUGAAGUUAAAAAUCAAGGGGUAAAGAUGAGUUCAAGAUGUCUGUGGGAUCCCACUAACGACACUUUCGCUACUUAUGAAUUUACCAACGGCUCUUUAUUUGCAACUGCAUCCGUUUACGGAAUUUAUAUGGAAUGA
rnacentral:misc_RNA from 1 species